AUUGAACGCUGGCGGCAGGCUUAACACAUGCAAGUCGAGCGGGGUGAUGGUGCUUGCACUAUCACUUAGCGGCGGACGGGUGAGUAAUGCUUAGGAAUCUGCCUAUUAGUGGGGGACAACAUCUCGCAAGGGAUGCUAAUACCGCAUACGUCCUACGGGAGAAAGCAGGGGAUCACUUGUGACCUUGCGCUAAUAGAUGAGCCUAAGUCGGAUUAGCUAGUUGGUGGGGUAAAGGCCUACCAAGGCGACGCUCUGUAGCGGGUCUGAGAGGAUGGUCAGCCACACUGGGGAUGGGACACUCCCCAUACGCCUCCGGGAGGCGACGGUGGGGAAGAUUGGACGAUGGGGGGCCGCCGGAGCCAGCCAGGCCGCGUGUGUGAAGAAGGACUUAUGGUUGUCCAGCACUUCAAGCGAGGAGGAGACCCGUUAGGUUAGUACCCAAGAUGAGUCGACGUUACUCGCAGAAUAAGCACCGGCUCACUCUGUGCCAGCCGCCGCGGUAA
rnacentral:rRNA from 1 species